rnacentral:rRNA from 1 species
CCUACGGGUGGCAGCAGUGGGGAAUAUUGCACAAUGGAGGAAACCCUGAUGCAGCGACGCCGCGUGAGUGAAGAAGUCAUUCUGUAUGUAAAGCUCUAUCAGCAGGGGAAAAAAUGACGGUACCUGAGUAAGAAGCCCCGGCUAACUACGUGCCAGCAGCCCCGGUACUACGUAGGCGGCAGGCGUUAUCCGGAUUUACUGGGUGUAAAGGGAGCUUAGAGGGAAGUGCAAGUCUGGAGUGAAAGGCGGGGGCUCAACCGCAGGAUUGCCGUGGAAACUGGAAGGCUGGAGUGCAGGAGAGGUAAGUGGAAUUCGUAGUGUAGCGGUGAAAUGCGUAGAUAUUAGGAGGAACACCAGUGGCGAAGGCGGCUCACUGGACUGUAACUGACGUUGAGGCUCGAAAGUGUGGGGAGCAAACAGGAUUAGAUACCCGAGUAGUC